UGUGGGGACUUCAAAUUAAUAAACCCGCUGUUCGUCUUGCCCAAUCCACAGGGUUGGGCAAUCUCUUUCAAGAACCCUGCUGGACCUCAUGAUCCCAGGGGCUGAGCGGUGGCUCCUUAUUUCUGCAGAAGCCAGAACACCUCUGUGGGAUGCUGAGUCCCUCUGAGCAUGACUGGAGGCCUUCGGGGCAUACUUUGGUCCUGCAUCAACACAUAGGGUCGCUUUACUGACCCUGAAUCCAACUCUUGACCCGAGGCAUGCGACUUUCUGAAUUGAUCUGAAAGCCUGGUGGGUCUCCUGCUAGGGGUGGAGCAGAGGGAAUCUAGUCUAGAUGUGAGCAGACAGACAGACAGCAGGCUGCAGGGAGUAGGGCUUUUCAGGAUCCAGACGAGGGGGUGGGCAAGGCAGGAACUUGUCUCCCGGCUCGCUGAGAGGCCCAGGGGUUCUGGGAGAGACCCCGGAGGGCAGCGCCGCCGCGGGGGCUGCAGCGGACAGGACAGCCGCGGGCGCCGCGGCCGGGGCAUCCCCACGCGGGGCGGGGAGCGCGGGCGGCGGAGGGCGGAGGCGCAGGCGCGCUGCUCCCCGCCCGCAGCCCCGCGCCGAGCGCCGCGUCUCGGGGAGUUGAUGGCAGCACCGUGGCGCGGCCACCGGGCUGAGCGCCGAGCGCAGCCUCCCGCCGCCGCCGCUCCGAGCGCGGCCAGGAUGUGGGGGGACCGGGGCGGCAGCGCCAGGGACCGGGGCGCGCAGCAGCCUCCGCUCGCCCGCCUGCUCCGCUGAGCGGCCCCCGCGCGGCCCCGGAGAAUGUCCUCCAAGCCCAAGGGGACCCCCUCCUCGUCCUCUCUCGCCGCCGAGGGGCCGCCGGCGGGCUCCAAGACCAAGGUGAAGGAACAGAUCAAGAUCAUCGUGGAGGACCUGGAACUGGUCCUGGGCGACCUGAAGGACGUGGCCAAGGAACUCAAGGAGAAGCUCCAUAACCUACUCCCACCUCCCCACAUGAUGAAACAGGGACACAGGCAGACAGUGACAACAGGACACCAGGAAAUGCCCCAGGUGGUUGACCAGAUUGAUACCCUGACCUCGGACCUACAGCUGGAGGAUGAGAUGACUGACAGCUCCAAAACGGACACCCUGAAUAGCAGCUCCAGCAGCACGACAGCCUCCAGCAUAGAGAAGAUCAAAGAGCAGGCCAACGCCCCUCUCAUCAAACCCCCAGCACACCCCUCCGCUAUCCUCACGGUCCUGAGAAAGCCAAACCCUCCACCGCCUCCACCGCGGCUGACACCCGUGAAGAGCGAAGACCCCCAAAGGGUGGCGCCGCCCGCUGUCAAUCCUGUCAAGACCAACGGCACCCUCCUGCGGAAUGGUGGCUUGCCAGGAGCACCGAACAAAAUCCCCAAUGGAGACAUCUGCUGCACACCCGGCAGCAACUCGGACAAGGCGUCCGUGCAGCCUCUGAUGCAUAGACCUGAAAAAGACAGGUGUCCCCAGGCAGGGCCUCCUCGGGAAAGGGUCCGGUUUAAUGAGAAAGUGCAGUACCAUGGCUACUGUCCUGACUGCGAGACCCGGUACAACAUGAAACACCGGGAGGUCCAUUUGCACAGUGAGCCCGUCCAGCCGCCGGGAAAGCUUCCUCACCCAGGCCCUGCCCGCCCUCCUCCGCCGCAUCUCCCUCCAUUUCCACUUGAAAAUGGAGGGUCGGGAAUAAGCCACAGUAACAGCUUCCCCCCUCUCAGACCUGCAACUGUGCCUCCUCCCACUGCACCAAAACCACAGAAGACGAUCUUGAGGAAGUCAACCACUACAACAGUGUGAUGUAUGCCAUUUAAAAACACUUUUUAUUUUAUUUUAAUUUUUUUUUAUAUUAUAAACAUAAUAAGUAAUGAGCACUUUCUACUCAAGCAAUAAAAAAGCCCAAAUAUAGUAAUCCUGCAUUCAGCAAAGUGGCAUAAAAAUCACCUGCUCCUUCAAAUUGGAAGGAAAUCUUUAUUUGGAGGCAUGUCAGCUCAUUUCUUCUCACUUCAGAUUCAUCAUUAUGACUUCUUGAGGCCAGAUGUAAUUUUGAAAUAACCAAGAACUUGUCCAUCUCAGAGCAACAAAUUCCCUCAACUUCGGAGCACAAGUGAUCACUGAUUUGGUCUGCAUAAAAUCAUCUGCCUCUAGUCUGACAGCCAUGAGCAGAGCCCUAGGGGUGAAAAAAGCCACAGCCUUAAAUAUCUUCACUCAGAAAUUACCAAGAAGAUUUAAAAAUAUAUAUAUAAGAAGGACUAAACAAUUAAGCUAACAGAAAACAGAAACCAAACAAAACCCAUCUUCCUUCACCAUGAAAAUAAAUAUUCCCAGAUAUGAAAAUGUAUAUUCGGCAGUUAAGCUAGUAAAUUAUUAUCAAUUGAUUUAUCAUUUGGGGAGAUAAAAUAGAGACAGGAAAUAUCUCUAGCCAGAAUUACUCAGCAUUUCAAAAUAAAUAUGUAGACAAAAAUAAACUGAACAAACAGAGGAGCAUCGCGGCAAUGAACAGUAGUAUUAGGACAGAAUGUUGCUGUUUGCAGAGAGGAUGUUUGCCAUCUUGUGUAUACCCUUAAAGCCAUAAUGGAGUAACAUCAUUAUUGUCAAUUGCUUGAAAUGUUUCUGCAUUCAGUCCUUCACUCCAUAUUGUUUGAGAGAGGGGGGAAGUCAGUCUUACUGAUUAUUUCUCAAUGCACUUCUAAUAUUUGCACUGUCACUUCCAUUCAGGGUAAUGAUGUGUGCUGUUAUUUGCACAGAUGGUCCCAUGAGUUUUGAGACCACAAGUAGUUUCUUGCAGGAGUCCAAAAAGAAAACACUUAAGAAUUCUGCAGACAUUAAUUUCUCUUCUAUAAAAAUCAGUU